UACGUAGGGAGCAAGCGUUGUCCGGAAUCAUUGGGCGUAAAGCGCGCGUAGGCGGCCCUGUAAGUCCGCUGUGAAAGUCAAAGGCUCAACCUUUGAAAGCCGGUGGAUACUGCAGGGCUAGAGUCCGGAAGAGGCGAGUGGAAUUCCUGGUGUAGCGGUGAAAUGCGUAGAUAUCAAGAGGAACACCUGAGGUGAAGACGGGUUGCUGGGCCGACACUGACGCUGAUGCGCGAAAGCCAGGGGAGCAAACGGG
rnacentral:rRNA from 1 species